UAUUUUGCUGAGUGAAAUAAAUCGAUCAGAGAAAGACAAAUACAAAUAUAUGAUUUUACUCAUAUGUGGAAUUUAAGAAUCAGAACAGAUGAGCAUAUGGGAGGGG